AGAACGAACGCUGGCGGCAUGCCUAAUACAUGCAAGUCGAACGAACUCUUCGGAGUUAGUGGCGCACGGGUGCGUAACGCGUGGGAAUCUGCCCUUGGGUUCGGAAUAACAGUUGGAAACGACUGCUAAUACCGGAUGAUGACGAAAGUCCAAAGAUUUAUCGCCCAGGGAUGAGCCCGCGUAGGAUUAGCUAGUUGGUGAGGUAAAGGCUCACCAAGGCGACGAUCCUUAGCUGGUCUGAGAGGAUGAUCAGCCACACUGGGACUGAGACACGGCCCAGACCUCCUACGGGA
rnacentral:rRNA from 1 species